rnacentral:rRNA from 1 species
GAGUUUGAUCCUGGCUCAGGACGAACGCUGGCGGCGUGCUUAACACAUGCAAGUCGAGCGGUAAGGCUCCUUCGGGAGUACACGAGCGGCGAACGGGUGAGUAACACGUGAGCAAUCUGCCCUUCACACUGGGAUACCCCCCGGAAACGGGAGCUAAUACCAGAUACGACCACUUCGGGCAUCCGAUGGUGGUGGAAAGUUCUGGCGGUGAAGGAUGAGCUCGCGGCCUAUCAGCUUGUUGGUGAGGUAAUGGCUCACCAAGGCUUCGACGGGUAGCCGGCCUGAGAGGGUGACCGGCCACACUGGGACUGAGACACGGCCCAGACUCCUACGGGAGGCAGCAGUGGGGAAUAUUGGACAAUGGGCGAAAGCCUGAUCCAGCAACGCCGCGUGAGGGAUGACGGCCUUCGGGUUGUAAACCUCUUUCGGCAGGGACGAAGCGCAAGUGACGGUACCUGCAGAAGAAGCACCGGCCAACUACGUGCCAGCAGCCGCGGUAAUACGUAGGGUGCGAGCGUUGUCCGGAAUUAUUGGGCGUAAAGGGCUCGUAGGCGGUUUGUUGCGUCGGUAGUGAAAACUCAGGGCUUAACCCUGAGCCUGCUUCCGAUACGGGCAGACUAGAGGUAUGCAGGGGAGAACGGAAUUCCUGGUGUAGCGGUGAAAUGCGCAGAUAUCAGGAGGAACACCGGUGGCGAAGGCGGUUCUCUGGGCAUUACCUGACGCUGAGGAGCGAAAGUGUGGGGAGCGAACAGGAUUAGAUACCCUGGUAGUCCACACCGUAAACGUUGGGCGCUAGGUGUGGGACUCAUUCCACGAGUUCCGUGCCGCCGCUAACGCAUUAAGCGCCCCGCCUGGGGAGUACGGCCGCAAGGCUAAAACUCAAAGGAAUUGACGG